GAUCUGUGCAGCGCUGCAGGAACUGGAAGUCGAACAAACCAGCUGUGCCUACAAUUCAUAACGAUGUCACCGGCCACCUGGCGAAUGAGACCGUUUUAUAUUCUCGCCAUUGUCUCAUUUGUGAUCACUUAUAACAUGAAAAGCAUCACCAGGCUUACAGUUUCGGGCAUUUUUUAAAUCUUUGAAUUUGGCGGCAUCGGGAUAAGCGUCUCUCUAAUGCAUCCUGAGAAAUCUUGACUGAGGCAGUAGACCAUCCAGGGGCUCACGCCUGACACAAGCAGAAAGAGAGGCCUGUUGACGACUAAUUUCCAGCAGCGGGAUAUUGCCAAGGAGGACACAUCCAUCCCACAGUGAGGGUCAGUCACCUCAGGACCCAUGCUGCCUUUCCUCGUCCUUUGACCAGAACAGGCUUCAUAUCUGGACCCUGCAGGCUGUCUGAAGCUGAACGCAGAACAAGAUGGAGAGAGCAGGAUUGAACGAAGGAUCUUUUACUCACGGCUGAUCUCAUCUCUGAUCUGACUUGCUGCAGAAGCAAGACAACCCUCUUUUCCUUCUGCUCUGUUUCUCUCCCACACUAUUUCUUCUGCUCUGACAGUCUGUCUUUCUUUUCAUUUUUUACUUGUUUCGCACUCUUUCCAUACCAGACAAGAGCCAACCUGAACCCAAACCUCAUCUGAUCCCUCCAUUGCCCUCGAAGGCAUUUAACGCACAUGCACACACACAAAUGUUGUAAGCGCACCGACAACGAUCACAGAUUACCGGCACGCCGCAUGAAUCCGAUGUUUUGAAAGAGCUGACAUGUGAUGUAAAUAGAAACACAAUGCAAUGACAUGACUUCUGAUCAGGAUCAGUUUCAAACAGGCCUUCUCACUUAUCUCAAAGUGGAUGUAAAGCUUAAAUUGAUUAGUGUUGAAUUGCAGACAGGGCUUUCGAGAUUUUUGAUUCAAACUUUCAGAGUAGGGCAAGGUGAAGCUAAACGUAAGUUAAGCCAUAAAGAGACUUUUAUUCAGAUGCUAAAGUUAAGCCAUAAAGAGACUUUUAUUCAGAUGAGACCGGCCGUGCAGCUCAGCUCUUGUGAUGGUUUGGAAAAUGACUGCUUUCAUGUUUUGGACUUUCUUUUCAUUAUAAAACUCUUGAAUACCAAAUGAAAGCAUUCAAAAGAAUUGCUUUGUAAAAUCAUAGCUUCAGAUGAAGAUAGCAUAGAUAACAA